rnacentral:rRNA from 1 species
AGAGUUUGAUCCUGGCUCAGGAUGAACGCUGGCGGCGUGCCUAAUACAUGCAAGUCGAGCGAACGGACGAGAAGCUUGCUUCUCUGAUGUUAGCGGCGGACGGGUGAGUAACACGUGGAUAACCUACCUAUAAGACUGGGAUAACUUCGGGAAACCGUAGCUAAUACCGGAUAAUAUUUUGAACCGCAUGGUUCAAAAGUGAAAGACGGUCUUGCUGUCACUUAUAGAUGGAUCCGCGCUGCAUUAGCUAGUUGGUAAGGUAACGGCUUACCAAGGCAACGAUGCAUAGCCGACCUGAGAGGGUGAUCGGCCACACUGGAACUGAGACACGGUCCAGACUCCUACGGGAGGCAGCAGUAGGGAAUCUUCCGCAAUGGGCGAAAGCCUGACGGAGCAACGCCGCGUGAGUGAUGAAGGUCUUCGGAUCGUAAAACUCUGUUAUUAGGGAAGAACAUAUGUGUAAGUAACUGUGCACAUCUUGACGGUACCUAAUCAGAAAGCCACGGCUAACUACGUGCCAGCAGCCGCGGUAAUACGUAGGUGGCAAGCGUUAUCCGGAAUUAUUGGGCGUAAAGCGCGCGUAGGCGGUUUUUUAAGUCUGAUGUGAAAGCCCACGGCUCAACCGUGGAGGGUCAUUGGAAACUGGAAAACUUGAGUGCAGAAGAGGAAAGUGGAAUUCCAUGUGUAGCGGUGAAAUGCGCAGAGAUAUGGAGGAACACCAGUGGCGAAGGCGACUUUCUGGUCUGUAACUGACGCUGAUGUGCGAAAGCGUGGGGAUCAAACAGGAUUAGAUACCCUGGUAGUCCACGCCGUAAACGAUGAGUGCUAAGUGUUAGGGGGUUUCCGCCCCUUAGUGCUGCAGCUAACGCAUUAAGCACUCCGCCUGGGGAGUACGACCGCAAGGUUGAAACUCAAAGGAAUUGACGGGGACCCGCACAAGCGGUGGAGCAUGUGGUUUAAUUCGAAGCAACGCGAAGAACCUUACCAAAUCUUGACAUCCUUU